rnacentral:rRNA from 1 species
GACGAACGCUGGCGGCGUGCUUAACACAUGCAAGUCGAACGGAAAGGCCCUUCGGGGUACUCGAGUGGCGAACGGGUGAGUAACACGUGGGUGAUCUGCCCUGCACUUUGGGAUAAGCCUGGGAAGCUGGGUCUAAUACCGAAUAGGACCACGCGCUUCAUGGUGUGUGGUGGAAAGCUUUUGCGGUGUGGGAUGGGCCCGCGGCCUAUCAGCUUGUUGGUGGGGUAAUGGCCUACCAAGGCGACGACGGGUAGCCGGCCUGAGAGGGUGACCGGCCACACUGGGACUGAGAUACGGCCCAGACUCCUACGGGAGGCAGCAGUGGGGAAUAUUGCACAAUGGGCGCAAGCCUGAUGCAGCGACGCCGCGUGAGGGAUGACGGCCUUCGGGUUGUAAACCUCUUUCAAUAGGGACGAAGCGCAAGUGACGGUACCUAUAGAAGAAGCACCGGCCAACUACGUG